AUUCCAACCUUGAUUAUUACUUGAGUAACAGAUCCCACUUUCCCUUGGACAAAAGCAAGCCUUGUAUGUGUGUUCUUUCACUCUUCUCUCUCUUUCUUUAAAUCGCAAUAUUCAGUCACAGAACCACUUCUACGGAAAAAUUAUCCAUCUCUACCAAUAAUAACACUUCGUUCUUUAGAUAAAUCAUCUGUGGGAGAUAAUUGUGUCCACCGAGAUGAAAGAUAUUCAAUUUUUCAACCAACUCAGUGAUAGAGGCUGCCAAUGGCAAGAAUGCACACUUUUGAUGGUUCGUAUUGGCUCAUCAUUUUUCAGAUUCAUCUGCGAUAUGACAAACUAACGCUAUAUUUUUAUCUUUCCGCCUGCUGUAUCAGUUGGUAAUGUUGGACAAUUAGCUGUUGACCUAUAUGUUACAACAUUGAUUUGGGAAAGAAAAGUGAAAUUAGUUGGGCGCAUAUUUUCAACAGCACAUAAAAGCGUUUCUGGUCCUAAUGCUUAUCAAUUUGAUGACGAUAGUCCUAUCAUGACUACUUGUGAAGGUAUGAGCUAUCAUAAAUUCCAGCCUUGCAAAUUUUCUGAAUAUAAUUAAUGGUUAUUAUCCGUUUUUUCAACAGUUUAAGAGUCUGUAGAUCACGAAUUGGUCAUCCUCCAAUUAAGAGCCCCGCCAUAUAAAGUAAGAGUUGGAAGUUUUGGAGAUUACAUUUUUCAUUUUUUAAUUUUAUUUUUUCUCUUUUUUUCACGAUAGGAACGAAGUAAACAAUUCGUCGAAGAGUUGUCUAAAUGGAUUGGGGAAAAAAAUUUAAAUAGGCCAUUUGUUCAUCAUCAAGCUUCCCUCAGUAUCUUUCACCUCAAAUUUUUGACAAAGAAUCUAAGCCUAUUCGAUAUAUUUCUACUAAUACACUUAAAGAAAAUAGUCCUACUAUUUUAUCUGACCAGUUGAAGGUUACAGAAUUAAAAGAAUCUGAAAAUGAUGAAGAGCUGAGCAUUUCUGCUAUAGUCGGCGGUGGCCUUACUAAAACAUUAUAUCAAUAUUGGCAAAAAGAGAAUAUACCAGGACUUUUAUUGGUAAUUUUUUGCUCUGAAGGUGAUAAUAUUCCUGAAGCUAUGGAGAUAUUAGAAACCGCGAAUAAGAUUAUCAAAGUUAAAGAGCCUAUUACCAGCGCAAAGCCUCAAAAUCGUUGGAAAACACCAAUUUCUUGGAUGCAAAUAUUUGGCGGAGCCAUUCCUAAUAACCUUUUUUAAGAAACAUCAUAGCAGCUUCCUAACCAUAACAUCAAAAAAUGUUUAAUGCGCAAGGGAAAUAUUUUUUCCGCACACACGAACUUUCUUAACACCCCGUACGUGAAAAGACUGUACGUCACCAAUCAUUUGUUGGUUUAAAUUUUUAUCGUAGAAUCUUUCGUGUGUAACAUUUUAAAUAAAAUAAUCUAUCUAAAUGAAUGUAUCACUGAAUAACUCAAUUUUAAAUAUUCAAUUGUUUACAGUUGAUUUUAUGAUGAUUAAGGAUUUUACAAAACAAGAUUAAUUAAUUUUCCUGGCUAAAUGUAAACAAGAUAAACUACGCCUACUCAGAGGGACCAUCUCAAAAUUUAGUUUAAAUUACUGGUCUGUGUAUUUACAGCUUAACCGACUGUGUAAUAUCAAUUAUGAUAUUGAAUUGUAUCAAGAUGGAAAUUUUAAUGGUGAAACAAUUUCCAGAUUAAUACUACAAUGUUAAAUAUAUGAAAAAAAACUCAGACUCAAAACUCUUAAUUUAAUUGAAUGGAAAUAAAUGAAUUCAACUCGAGAAUCGUUGUUAGAUUACAAAGUUAGAUUCAACUCUUUCUAAUUCUCUCCAUUACUUCAAUUGUUUAGGACAAGAAAUGAUAUUCAAGAUGCUCAGAUGCAUUUGAGUGAUUAUUAAAAGUAAUAGAGAUGUUUACGACUAAACAUCGGUAUUUAAAAUGAUUAAUUCAAUUAUUUCUCAUGGUUACUUUCAAUCUAUUUUUUUUUCUUUUUUCUCAGUGACCACUAAAAAUCAUCAUCAUAAUCAUCAACAACAUCGUAAGUGAUGAAGCUUGUUAUUCAGUAUGAUCAAAACAUUGAUGGAUCGAUAAAAAAGGUACAAGCAAUGGAAAUCAUGGCUGUUUCUGUUGUACUAAUAUUUUGGUUUCUAAUCAUGUAAAUGAGAAACAAUAAUGGUGCUUACCUACACAGACUGAGGCCUAAAUGAUGUAUAUAAAUGGAGUAUGAAUGAGUUGAACAUUUUUAUCAUCAUUGGACAAAGAAGAGAUCCC